GCUGAGGUAGCUCAGUCGGUAGAACACGAGACUCUUAAUCUCAUGGCUGUGGGUUCCAGCCCCAUGUUAGGCA
rnacentral:tRNA from 1 species